rnacentral:rRNA from 1 species
UACGGGGGGGGCAAGCGUUGUUCGGAAUUACUGGGCGUAAAGGGUUCGUAGGUGGCCUACUAAGUCAGACGUGAAAUCCCUCAGCUUAACUGGGAAACUGCGUCUGAUACUGGGGGGCUUGAGUGCAGGAGAGGAACGCGGAAUUCCAGGUGUAGCGGUGAAAUGCGUAGAUAUCUGGAGGAACACCGGUGGCGAAGGCGGCGUUCUGGACUGCAACUGACACUGAUGAACGAAAGCCAGGGGAGCAAACGGG